GAUGAUUGUGGCUCAGUUGGAUAGAGUGCUGGGUUCCGGACCCAGAGGUCGCUGGUUCGAGUCCAGCCAGUCAUCA
rnacentral:tRNA from 1 species